GGUCAUGGCGAAUCGGAGCUCAAGAUAUACACUUCCACUAGCAGAGCUUCUCUCUAGCCCAACCAAUGCGUAUGUGUAUAUAUAUAUUGUAUGUAUAUAUAGAUGGAUAUGUAUGUGAGUGUAUGUUUGGUAUAGAUAUGGUGAGGGAUUGGCGAAUCGUGGAAGAUCGUUCUCAAGUGUGAGAAGGGGGGGUUCGAGGAGAGAGAGAAUGGCUGUCCCUUGCGUUGAAGAGGAGAUUAUAUUUGUCUCCAAGUAGACCAGCCCUGUUGGCAAACUUCAUUUAAGUGGUAUGGCCAAAAACUAAU
rnacentral:lncRNA from 1 species